CUUGCGGACAACACAGGAUGAAUGUUACAACAACAAGGACUGUACCUGGCUGCAAUGCAUUUCAAUGAAAAUGCACGUCUGCAGGCAACUACCUCAUCUGGAGAGCCCAUGUAGAUUAUUCUUUCCCAAGUUCAAGAAGGGAGAAGGCACAGCAAAGCCUAUCAGAACUCCUGAAACCCGAAACUGCGCUGUGGAUUCAUCUCCAGUUGUCCCAGACAAG